GGCUCGGUAGCUUAGUUGGUAAAGCGCUCGUCUAGCAUACAAGAGUCCUGGGUUCAAAUCCCAGCCGUGCAC
rfam:Aedes aegypti strain Liverpool supercont1.783 genomic scaffold, whole genome shotgun sequence.